AAAUCAACUUGCCAAAACUGAAGUAGUAUCAUAAAAUAAAAAAAAAUAAAAAUAAACUGAUAAACUAAGACUUAACAAGUUCAACUAAAAUGUUCAAUGUAAAAACUCUAUCCCUAGUCAUCCUCCACUUCCAUGGCCACCUCGACUCUGGAACUGCAAAACUGAAAAGAUAAGGGGUGAGCAUAUUGAAAAUAUACUCAGUGAG
rnacentral:lncRNA from 1 species